UUCCCACUCUACAUUUCCCUAUAAUGUCAAGCUGUGGACACUAAUAUCUGUCUGCAAUGUGUCCUGCAGAUUGUGAAAAGGCUGGUAGGUGAUGAUGCGGGCACCGCGGAGUGGGCUACCAACACUCAGAACGAGCACAGGCAAGUCCUUACGAGGGUUCGGGCCUGGUAGACAAGUUAGCCGGCUUAUAGAAGCACUGCAGAGAUGCCAUGGAGCCUCCUCCACAUGUGUGAUCUACGUGGACCGUGACUGCUGCUUCCUGGGGUGGUGCUCCAGUGUGGCCAAUCUCUUCCAGGAAUGGGAGGACAUGACUGUUGUGCGUCUGGAAGUGUGCAGCAUUUUGCGAGUGUCGUCACCACCGAAAGUCACUAUUAAUGCAGUGCUUUCAUGAGAGGCCUGUCGAGGAAUUUUGAGUGGGAUGCCAGCAACAUGUUAAAGCUGAGGGAGGCCAAGCGCUCCAAGCUGAAGGGAAAGCGGCACCUUUUCGGCCUGUGCAACAAGCAAGUGGAGCUCCGCGUCACUAAAUGGAGCUGGAGCUGGAGCUGGCGCUGCACUGCAGGAGACUCAUCCGGGGGGCAGAGGAAACCACGCAGCUGGUCAGGCAGCUGAUAGCCACUUUUAAAGGGCACAAGGUCGACGGCGCAGUGGGAACACCCCUCUUAGGCAGUGGACAACGUAUGUUCUAGGUGUCUCUUGGGAGAGACUACCGGACCUGAAAAGUGGCCAGAUGCUAGCAGGAUUGUGGAAGCAGUCUGCCGCCAGUUGUGCGAUCUGCACCCAUCUUCUGUACAGACAAAGGGGGUGUGGGUCGAAAGGUUCAACAAACGUCAGAAGGCCCAGGAGCGUGCUGUUCUUCUUCAGGGGGUGGAGCGACCGAGUGCCAGCGCUGUGGCCCAGGAUCCACUCCCACCCCCAUGUGAGCAGCCCUUUGCAUUCCAGCCAUUCACCUUCACAAAUGCCUCAAGCUCCCCGUGCUCGCCUUAUCCUUCCUGCUUCCCCUGUGACUCAGACACAGCCUGUAUGUGUUUUUAUUCCACCGCCUCCUUCAUCGCAUAUUCCGGUACCAGUGUUUCAGCCAGUCCAGUACACCGCUCAAUCACCCACAGCAGUGACAGGAGCAGCAGUACAGGUUGAACAAGUUUCACCAAUCACAGCCUGGUACCGUAAGAAGACUAAGGGCACCCAGAGGCGCAAGUAUGAACGCUCCAGUGAGCACAACUUGUGCUCUAAAUGUGGUCAGCCCAAACAAAAGGAAUUUGGCCACAACAGGUUUGGAAGCGAGACCUUUCGUGCUGCAACCUCAUCACUAACUGUGGACCAGUGGUUGGCACAGAUGAGUGAAAAACUACAAGAAGUAACAUUUUAUAAGCAAUUUAAUGUCUUCUACUUCAAGAACUUCUUCACUGUUUG
rnacentral:lncRNA from 1 species